UACGUAGGGGGCAAGCGUUAUCCGGAUUUACUGGGUGUAAAGGGGGCGCAGACGGCAAUGCAAGCCAGGAGUGAAAGCCCGGGGCUCAACCCCGGGACUGCUUUGGAAACUGCAUAGCUGGAGUGCUGGAGAGGCAAGCGGAAUUCCUAGUGUAGCGGUGAAAUGCGUAGAUAUUAGGAGGAACACCAGUGGCGAAGGCGGCCUGCUGGACGAUGACUGACGUUGAGGCUCGAAAGCGUGGGGAGCAAACAGG
rnacentral:rRNA from 1 species